CAAAAGGCCACACUUAUCAGU
rnacentral:siRNA from 1 species